rnacentral:rRNA from 1 species
UUUUUGGGCUUGGUAAUUGGAAUGAGGGAGAGUUAAACGGACCAUCGAGUAUCCAUUGGAGGGCAAGUCUGGUGCCAGCAGCUGCGGUAAUACCAGCUCCAAUAGCGUAUAUAAAAGUUGUUGCAGUUAAAAAGCUCGUAGUUGGACUUGUGUGCGCUGUCCGCGGGUGGCCUGCGCCCAAAAGGGCGUUUCGGUUCGGCCCCGGUGGCGCCUUGAAAUCUGCAGCUGGGGGGACGUUGGCCUUAACUGGUCGGCGACCGCACGCCGGCUGCUCGGUUACUGUGAGAAAAUUAGAGUGUUCAAGGCAGGCAUUGGGUGCAAUUGAAUACAUUAGCAUGGAAUAAUAAAAUAUGGCUCCUGCCGUAUUUUGUUGGUUUUGACUGGUGGGAGUAAUGAUUGAUAGGGACGGUUGGGGGUGCUAGUAUUGAGCGGCCAGAGGUGAAAUUCAUGGAUUCGCUCAAGACUAACUUAUGCGAAAGCAUCCACCAAGGACGUCCUCUUUAAUCAAGAACGAAAGAUGGGGGAUCGAAGACGAUCAGAUACCGUCGUAGUCUCAACCAUAAACUAUGUCGACUUGGGAUCGGCGGUAGUUUUUUCAUUAAGACACUGUCGGGACCACGGGAGAAAUCAAAGUGUCUGGACUCUGGGGGAAGUAUGGUCGCAAGGCUGAAACUUGAAGGAAUUGACGGAAGGGCACCACCAGGAGUGGAGCCUGCGGCUUAAUUUGACCCAACACGGGGAAACUUACCAGGUCCAGAGAUGUAGAGGAUUGACAGAUUGAAGCUCUUUCUUGAUCACUUCGGUGGUGGUGCAUGGCCGUUCUUAGUUGGUGGAGUGAUUUGUCUGGUUAAUUCCGUUAACGAACGAGACCUCAGCCUGCUAGUGUAGUCGGCUGGAUUGCCUUUGGCGAUCCGUGAUUUCGACUUCUUAGAGGGACAAUCGACGCGCAGUCGAUGGAAGUUUGAGGCAAUAACAGGUCUGUGAUGCCCUUAGAUGUUCUGGGCCGCACGCGCGCUACACUGCUGGGCUCAGCGAGUUUUACUUGGCCGAGAGGCCCGGUUAAUCUUGUGAAAUCCCAGCUGCUUGGGCUCGCCUCCUGCAACUGGAGGCGCCAACGAGGAAUUCCUAGUAGACGCAGGUCAUCAACCUGCAUCGAUUACGUCCCUGCCCUUUGUACACACCGCCCGUCGUUCCAUAAGAGUGAGGCAUCCGGUGAAUUCUCGGGAGAGCCUGGGCGUGGCCAGCAAUGGUCUGCUCGGGUUUGAACUUGCAUAAACUUGGUGCCUAUGAUUAGGG